UACGUAGGGGGCUAGCGUUGUCCGGAAUCAUUGGGCGUAAAGAGCGCGUAGGCGGUCCGGUAAGUCGGUUGUGAAAGUCGGGGGCUCAACCCUCGGAUGCCGAUCGAUACUGCCGGGCUAGAGUCCGGAAGAGGCGAGUGGAAUUCCUGGUGUAGCGGUGAAAUGCGCAGAUAUCAGGAGGAACACCAAUGGCGAAGGCAGCUCGCUGGGACGGUACUGACGCUGAGGCGCGAAAGCGUGGGGAGCAAACAGG
rnacentral:rRNA from 1 species